GCCUAACACAUGCAAGUCGAACGGAGUUAUUUGUUUAGAUCCCUUCGGGGUGACGAACUUUUAACUUAGUGGCGGACGGGUGAGUAACGCGUGAGUAACCUGCCUCUGAGAGGGGAAUAACGUUCUGAAAAGAUCGCUAAUACCGCAUAACAUAUCGAAGCCGCAUGGCUUUGAUAUCAAAGAUUUUAUCGCUCGGAGAUGGACUCGCGUCCGAUUAGCUUGUUGGCGGGGUAACGGCCCACCAAGGCGACGAUCGGUAGCCGGACUGAGAGGUUGAGCGGCCACAUUGGGACUGAGACACGGCCCAGACUCCUACGGGAGGCAGCAGUGGGGGAUAUUGCGCAAUGGGGGCAACCCUGACGCAGCAACGCCGCGUGAAGGAAGACGGUUUUCGGAUUGUAAACUUCUUUUGUCAGGGACGAAGAAUGACGGUACCUGACGAAUAAGCUCCGGCUAACUACGUGCCAGCAGCCGCAGUAAUAC
rnacentral:rRNA from 1 species